GAGAGAGAGAGAGAGAGAGAUCAUGUUGGGACUAGAAUCACCCCUUUUACUUUCCCAUUGCCACUAAGCAUCUUCAUUGAGAUGAUACCAAUUGCACACAGAAUUAGAAUUAAAACAAUAGCAAGCCAACCCUUGACGACGAGCGUCCACCUAGCUAGUGCCAUAUCCUGAUAUCCAACAACACCAUUUACACCUUUCUUCUCUUCCUUGUCACUUGGCAGAGCCACCUCGAUCCAAUCAUCACAGAUAUAAGAAGUUGACGAUGAACAAGAACCAGAAUGGCAAUGAACAGGAUAUAACUCUUCUUCUUUGCUUUCAACUUUUUCCUUCUCAUCAUCUGAAUCGUAGGAAAACACUGACCUCAUCUCAUCACUCCCUUGAGCAAAAACAUCCCAACCACUGCAUAUUAUCUCCUGUCUCCCUCCAGAACCCACCUCACUUGCAC
rnacentral:misc_RNA from 1 species